rnacentral:lncRNA from 1 species
GCCUCUUCCGGCCGUGGGGCCGCGUGUGCUGUGUUGGUCUCCGUCUGCGGGUCCGUUUGUCGGCGCACGGACGGGAGCGGUUUUGUUUCGGGUACUCCAUCCGCAGCUCUUCAUUUGGUAACGGUCUGUCCAAGGACUCAGUUUGGAAGAUGAUAGGAGAUGGCUGAAGGUGUACUGUGAAGCCUUUUGCUGUGGUCUGACUGUACAGAUCCCAGAACCCAUUCCAGCUGCAGAUACAGUGUGUGCUUCUCAAGUAAAUGGGCACACUGGGAGCCUACAGACUUACUCAGGGGGCCUCUUGCAGUACCUGUAGAAGAAAAGACCAGGAGAUGCUUUGUGUCCUGUGGGGAUAGCUGUGCUACACCUCUAUCCAGCUGAGCCUUGGAACUUCCUCUUUGGACAAACUUCUUUGACAGAAGCUGUGCUGUUGGCACCUUGCUGCAGAGCUCUCUCGCUGCUCACCCACCUGCAUCCUGGUGCCAUCACCCGCUGCCCUGCAGAUCUUGUACAGCAGGGUAUGAAUGCCAGUACCACAUCUUCAGAGCUGUUAUCAGCUGUUCUCACGGCCUCCCGAGGCUGAGGUGUCAGGAGCAGAGUGCUGCUGCCAGGGCAGCCUGCUGGGUUUGCCUCUGCCUGGGAAGUGCCAUGGGAAUUGGCGGCCGGGAGCACGAGCCCUGCCUGGGAGCUGCUACCUCACUCAUGAGAUUUGAUUACACCAUCGGUGUGUACCACCCAGCCUGUUUUAAUGUCCCUGCACGGUGAAUUUCACAAGCCCUGGGUUAGUUUUUGUUUCAGCUGUUGCUGUAGAUACUGUCGCUUCUGUCUCUGCACGGCUUCUUGUUUUUCUCAUCUUUCUACGGUCUUACUAAAGAACUAAGGGAGCAUGCAAGUUUAGGGUUUCAAAAGGAAGCUGUGGUCUGAGACGUGCAAAGAAAUGUCAGCGGUAGAGUUAUACUUGUGGUUAGAAACAAACUGUUUAUUUGUUUUGCUAACAAGAAGCAGGUGUUGCCGGGGCACCUGGGGAGAGAGGCAGGGGGGUUCUGCUGCACACAGGGGCUGAAGACCUCCUAGGUAGCAUUAACUCCACUUUUAUUAAGAGCGUGGAGCAGAAUGCAGUGAUGAGAAAAUGACUCUGAAGUCUUUGGUCUUACAGCAUUCAGGUUAAAAUGUUUCAGCUUUCUCAUUUUGUGUUGUUUGUUUAUGGUGAAGGCCUUACUGUCAUGGGCAGGGCCCAGCACAGCCAUCGAGGCUUCUUCCUCAAAGUCCCAAAGCGUUCAAGAAGAGCCACAGGUGGUUCCCAGCACGUUUUGAUGUGGUGUAAGACUAAAGCAUAGAGAAAAAGCAGGCAAAAGAAGUGUAGAGCAUACACAGGAAAGCUCAGGUAUUUAAAGGGUUACUUUCCAUCAUUUACUACGAACUAUUUUAAAAUUUACUGCGUGAUGAGAAUCUACCAGUGCAUUAAAAAUUCUUCUCUG